CCAGUGCAGAGAUCUAAAGUGAUGACUGAUGUAGCAGGGAACCCAGAGGAGGAGAGGAGGACGGAGUUCUACCAGGCAGCCUGGGUACCAGAGGCAGUGGGAAGAUACAUGUACUCCAAAGUACAGCAGAGAAGACAAGAGCUGGAGCAGGUGUUGGGUAUCCGCCUCACCUAAAAAUCCAGGAGUGUGUCUGCAAACUGGACCUUCACAUCUUAAAGCCUUAAUCAAAUGAACUGGGAAAGAGGGGGGAAAGUAAUGCUGCAGCUGAAUCUUCUCAUGAC